GCUUGGAGGGAGGUUGGCUGCUCUUUCCUUUAGCUGGAAUGGGGGGUUGAUUGUGGAGGGCAGAAAUCUUGGCAUCUCAAUCCAGUCUCUUCCUACCAAGUAGCAGCCUGAGAGGAUUCAGACUCCCCUAAGUCGGGUUGCCCGUGGAGGAGUUUAUCUGCCAAGAGGAGAGAAGAGAGUCGGUGUCCGAAGCGGACCGAAUGGGGAUCGAGUGAAGUCGCUGAGGGAUCUGGAAGGAAGGAAGGUCUUCGGCUUAAAGGUUCAGAUGGACCACGUGACGUCUUCAGUCGUCUAAACCAUUCCUGCUUCUGACGUGGUGCUGUAGGGGUCUGGAUUAGUUUACGCAUCUCUCUCUGAAAAUGCCUUGGUCUCUGCUAAGGAGCAGAAAUUCCACUGGAAAACAAAACACCCAGCUCCGUCAGGGACCAGAUUGCAUCCCCAGGUGUUCGGAACCGGAUCGAAUCAAAGCCCGCGUAACAGCUGAAGUUCUCAGGGAUGCUCCUUGAUUUAAGCCUCUAUCAAGAAGGACUUUAUCCAAGGGAAAAUAAGGCUAAGAAGACUAGGGACUGGUGGAAAGAGCAGGGACUUGGGGUCAGAGAACCUGGAUUCUAAUCCUGGCUCUCCCACUUGCAUGAGCUCAUCCCUUGACAUUAUUACUAGGCCUCCGAUAGCUCAUCUGUAAAAUGGGAAUUCAGUCGUUCUUGUCCCUUCUCUUUAAAUUGUGUCCCAUGUGAUAAACAUUUAUCUACCGUAGCAAUUA